rnacentral:tRNA from 1 species
UUCCGGCAUAGCUCAGUUGGUAGUAGCGCAUGACUGUUAAUCAUGAUGUCGUAGGUUCGAGUCCUACUGCCGGAGUAAA